rnacentral:lncRNA from 1 species
UUUUUUCAAGUAAAGCAACAACGGUGCACCUUUCUUUUCUCGUCGUCAUUGCUCUUUUCAGUGACGAAAAAAUUAUUCUGUUUUCUUUAAUUUUUUUUUUUUUUGGUAAUAAGACAUAUAACAACCUCUAGCUUUAAAUUGUUUAAUUGUGUAACGUUUGAGUAGCAAACACAUUCCCGUAUCAUAGAAAAAGGUGUAAGGCCACGCGCUUUUUCUCCAUGAUCUUUUCGUAAUAUAAUAGUAAUCUUUUUAAA